AUGCUGGCUCUGGCUCCUUACGAGGUGCCGGCGAAGAAGAUCAAGAAGAAGGCCACGGGGACCCGAAAGGGUCUCCGACGCAAGGUUGUAUCGGACUCAUCGUCCGAUCACUCCAACACACACUCCUCCCAUGAAAACGAGGAGGAGGAGGAAAGUUCUCCCCCCUCCCAGCCGGGGGACAAGAAAAGGAAGGCCGACCCAACCGGGGAGGCCGAAGGGUCCAAGAAGGGAAGGACCCUCCCUCUGGACUGCUCCACGACGGCCGCCUACAGCGGCGACGAGUGGCUACCCAGGGUCAAGCCCCUGGCAAAGUCGUAA
rnacentral:rRNA from 1 species